AUUGAACGCUGGCGGCAUGCUUUACACAUGCAAGUCGAACGGUAACAGGCCGCAAGGUGCUGACGAGUGGCGAACGGGUGAGUAAUGCAUCGGAACGUGCCCAGUCGUGGGGGAUAACUACUCGAAAGAGUAGCUAAUACCGCAUACGAUCUAUGGAUGAAAGCGGGGGACCGUAAGGCAUCGCGCGAUUGGAGCGGGCGAUGUCGGAUUAGGUAGUUGGUGGGGUAAAGGCUCACCAAGCCAACGAUCGGUAGCUGGUCUGAGCGGACGACCGGCCACACUGGGAGUUAGACACGGCCCAGACUCCUGCGGGAGGCAGCAGUGGGGAAUGUUGGACAAUGGGCGCAAGCCUGAUCCAGCAAUGCCGCGUGCAGGAAGAAGGCCUUCGGGUUGUAAACUGCUUUUGUACGGAACGAAACGGCUCUGGUUAAUACCCGGGGCUAAUGACGGUACCGGAAGAAUAAGCACCGGCUAACUACGUG
rnacentral:rRNA from 1 species